ensembl:lincRNA 2810030D12Rik RIKEN cDNA 2810030D12 gene
CCGAACCGAGUGCACCUGCUGCAGCCUGGCACUAGGGAUUUGAAAAUCCAUGGAGAUGGAAACCUAUGCCGAGGUUAGAAGACCUGGAUCCACUUUGCAGGAUUUUAAAUAUCCUUCAAGCCUCAGUGCCUGGCAGACUGGACUUUGGACUUCGGACUUCCAGCUCCGAUGCUGAAAAAGGAGAGUUUUUUUGUUUUUUUUGUUUGUUUGUUUUUCCACUUUGCUUCCUUGCUUGUCGAGGCUGAGAACAUACGGUGUUUUUGAGGGCCACCAUCUAAGGGUACUCGCUUCUCCAAACCUUGGAACCCGAGGUCUAGCCUUGGAAAGAGUUGCCGCCUUACCGUCUCUCCUCGCCUAGAGAAGCCCCAGCUGUGUGCGCUACUGCAGGGUCACAGUGCUGCGGUGCCGAGCUUCUUUCGUGGUCCCUGUCGCCGUCCGUUUCUUGAGAUUUCAGACUCUGGGCUUGGAAACCAGUUGACUGCCUUUCUUAGCGAGGUGCCCUCGGAAACCUGUGGAGGAAUGUUUGGAUUAUGAAUGCUCACCGUGCCGAGGUAAAGCAUAGGGCUUUGGCGCCUUCGGGCCCUGUGGUCAGCGGUGGGACGGAUCGGACGUUGCAGAAGCACUUUUCUGCGGUGUUUAGAAGGUGCUACCCACCUUCAGCUGACUGUAGUUGGAAUGACCCUCAGCUGGACUUUGGGAACUCACUUGAACUAGUUAGAAACUUCAAAGUACCUAGCAGGAAGCGGCGGGGGUGGGGUGGGGGUGGGAUUAGAAUUUAGCCUGGUCCACUGGAACACUUGGAUACCCCACUGUAAAUGAUCUUGACCUCAGCGCCAAGAAUACAGGCAGCACCCGGUGGGACCGGUUCUCUCUCUCUCUCCCUCUCUCUGUCUCUCUCUCAAGGCUACAUACGCAGCUCUGCCCUUUACUUCAUUUUCUCUAGGUUUUGAGACUACUGUAAGACAGAUGAGAAAACCUGAGGUUUGUGUUGCUUUCCCUCCUCCUUGCUUUGACCAAACUCUGCUGAACAAGGAUUCUCUACCAAA